CCUACGGGAGGCAGCAGUGAGGAAUAUUGGGCAAUGGACGAGAGUCUGAACCAGCCAAGUAGCGUGAAGGAUGACUGCCCUAUGGGUUGUAAACUUCUUUUAUAAAGGAAUAAAACGAGGCACGUGUGCCUUUUUGCAUGUACGUUAUGAAUAAGGAUCGGCUAACUCCGUGCCAGCAGCCGCGGUAAUACGGAGGAUCCGAGCGUUAUCCGGAUUGAGUGGGUUUAAAGGGAGCGUAGAUGGGUUGUUAAGUCAGUUGUGAAAGUUUGCGGCUCAACCGUAAAAUUGCAAUUGAUACUGGCAGUCUUGAGUACAGUUGAGGUAAGCGGAAUUCGUGGUGUAGCGGUGAAAUGCUUAGAUAUCACGAAGAACCCCGAUUGCGAAGGCAGCUUACUAAACUGUGACUGACAUUGAUGCUCGAAAGUGUGGGUAGCAAACAGGAUUAGAUACCCUAGUAGUC
rnacentral:rRNA from 1 species